rnacentral:rRNA from 1 species
GGAGGUAAAGCACUGAAUGGGCUAGGGGCCGAUAAGGUUACUGAACCCUAUCAAACUCUGAAUGCCGGCUAAUUGAUGACUAGCAGUCAGACUACGUGAGAUAAGUUUCGUGGUCAAAAGGGAAACAGCCCAGACCCACAGCUAAGGUCCCAAAUGUAUGCUAAGUGGAAAACGAUGUGGAGUUGCGAAAACAACCAGGAUGUUGGCUUAGAAGCAGCCACUCAUUAAAAGAGUGCGUAAUAGCUCACUGGUCGAGUGACUCUGCGCGGAAAAUAUAACGGGGCUAAGCAUGCAACCGAAGCUUGGGCUUGUCGCAAGACAGGGGUAGGGGAGCGUCGAAUAUGGGGUGAAGUCGCAGCGGGAGCAGCGGUGGACUGUAUUCGAGUGAGAAUGCCGGAAUGAGUAGCGAGAAUUAUGUGGGAAUCAUAAUGGCCGAAAAUCUAAGGUUUCUUGGGGAAGGUUCGUCCGCCCAAGGUAAGCCGGGAGCUAAGGCGAGGCCGCAAGGCGUAGUCGAUGCACAUACGGUAGAAAUUCCGUAGCCGCCGAACUUUAAGCAUGCUGACACUUUGGAAUAGGGGAACCCGGGCGUUGGUCGACCCGGGCGUAAGGGACCGAAAAAUAGUAGGGAAGUCCUUGAUGUCCAGAGGCGAGAAAAGGCAUGUGGUAUACUAAGGCGCCCGUACCGCAAACCGACACAGGUAGAUGAGGAGAGAAUCCUAAGGCCAACGGGAGAAGGGUUGUUAAGGAACUCGGCAAAAUGACCCCGUAACUUCGGGAUAAGGGGAGCCUGCGCGAGCAGGCCGCAGAGAAUAGGCCCAAGCGACUGUUUACCAAAAACACAGGUCUAUGCUAAAUCGAAAGAUGACGUAUAUGGGCUGACGCCUGCCCGGUGCUGGAAGGUUAAGAGGAGAGCUUAGUCGCAAGGCGAAGGUUUGAAUUGAAGCCCCAGUAAACGGCGGCCGUAACUAUAACGGUCCUAAGGUAGCGAAAUUCCUUGUCAGGUAAGUUCUGACCCGCACGAAUGGCGUAACGAUUUGGGCACUGUCUCAACAGCCCACCCGGCGAAAUUGUUGUACUGGUGAAGAAGCCAGUUACCCGCAACUAGACGGAAAGACCCCAUGGAGCUUUACUGUAGCUUAAUACUGGAAAUCGGUAAAUCAUGUACAGGAUAGGUGGGAGACUUGGAAGCCUGGGCGUCAGCUUAGGUGGAGUCAACCUUGGGAUACCACCCUUGAUUUGCUGGUUUUCUAACCUGCGGCCGUGAAUCCGGUCGGGGGACACUGUUAGGUGGGCAGUUUGACUGGGGCGGUCGCCUCCAAAAAGGUAACGGAGGCGCUCAAAGGUUCGUUCAGCACGGACGGAAACCGUGCAGUGAGUGUAAACGCAUAAACGAGCCUAACUGCGA